UACGUAGGGUGCAAGCGUUAAUCGGAAUUACUGGGCGUAAAGCGUGCGCAGGCGGUUUUGUAAGUCAGAUAUGAAAUCCCCGGGCUCAACCCGGGAACUGCGUCCGAUACUGGAAGGCUUGAAUCCGGGAGAGGGAUGCGGAAUUCCAGGUGUAGCGGUGAAAUGCGUAGAUAUCUGGAGGAACACCGGUGGCGAAGGCGGCAUCCUGGACCGGCAUUGACGCUGAGGCGCGAAAGCCAGGGGAGCAAACGGG
rnacentral:rRNA from 1 species